UACAUUCCCAUUGAUGAACCCCAAUUUGUUCUUUACGGCGAGUGAGCAUAACACACCCCUCUUCCAUGAGCGAAAUCCAACUCCAUCAAAUGGAACAGGAACCAACACUGUACCGGCACUCUCAGACGGAUGGAUGUACAAAGGACUUCCAAAUAUCAAAGGUUAGGAAGAUGAAACAGACGAACUAGUGGUUUGAUUAAUAAUUUUAAUCAUGACGAGAAUAGAUCAAAUAAUAGGAAUAGAAUUGCUUAAAGCAAAGAGAGAUUUGCAUAGGAAAAAGAUCUGUAGAAUCAUAUCGAAAUUGAAAUCGAACGAUAUGAGAUGCAAAGAUAUUGAGAAAAAAAUUUGGACCAAAAUGAAAUUUAGAGGAAGAGAGACCUUCUAUGGCUCUGAUACCAUGUUAAACUCAGCUUGUUUCAACUUAGAUUAAAGCUUGAUGAACUCCAUUAAUGGAGAAUUCUUC
rnacentral:lncRNA from 1 species